CGAAAUAAAACGAUGGAAAUAUCUCCCUCUUUCUCAGAGGAAAAGAUCUCUCUCUCCCUCGUCUCUUCCCAUCCCCUCCUCUUCCCCAUGCCGCCGCCACCACUUCCCCCACCGCCUCCAUCACCUUCUCCUCCCCUGCCUCCGUACCGGACCACACGCUUGGACAAGGAGGCAAUAGCUUGGGAGGUAGGCAAGAGGAAAACGGGAGGGAUCCCCUCCCGAGCCCCGCGCAUCUCCUCUUUCCCACUGCGGUGCCGCCAGCCCCUUUCCCUCCCAUCGCACGCUGCUGCAGCUCCUCCCUCAACCCGUGGCGCGCCUUCUUCUCCGACCGUUGUUGCCCGCACUACUACCGCUGUGCCCUGCUACUGCUCAUCCUUCUCCAGCUCCUCGUCCCAGCGGCGCGUCCUCCCCUCCUCUCAUGCAAGGCGUCUUGGGGUGUGGAGGCGGCGGGGCAGUAGCCAGUCGUUGCCCUGCAGCGGCAGCAGCAGGUCGGGGCAGCCGUGCCGCAUAGGAGGUCGAGGAGGACCAGGAGAAGCUGCACGAGGCUCCAUCGCCUCCUGCUCAAAUUUGCUUUCUCUAUGCCUACAUGGUGUUUGAUAAAAAUCCAAGAAGGACGGGGAGGAUUGAUCUAUCGGAUAGUAGAAGAAAACUGAAACAUGUUCACUAGAGUGGGUUGGGGUGGCCUGCAAGCUACGAGGAUGGGGCGGCGAGACUGGAUUGGCAGCCGACAGCGAGAGAGGAAGGGAGGUUGUUCCUGCGAUGAGGUGGUGAUGAUUGUCAUAGUGGAAUUUUGUAGGUACGACGGCGGCGAGCUUUGAGGGCCCUCGGUUUGGUGGCAGCAUGAGCCUCGUGGAGUUGUCUCAGACAACAUCACAUCUAUUUGUUUUUGUUUCCCCACUUAGACUACUGUUUUGAUUCUGAAGUGUGGAUAUGGAUGUGACUUACCACGGAGGAAGUGGGUACAAUAUCCAUUUGAAAGAUGCAGCAGGCUCAAAAUAAGUUUCUGGUGCAAAAGUGGAGCUGCAAGCCAGAUUGGUUGAUUCAGCAAUGGAGUGAUUGUACCCUGCAAAGUUCCUCUCUUGGUUCACUGAUGCGAUCAACCUAUGUGCACGUAGAUGAUGUUUUGUUUCCCUCCCUAGAAUCUAUGUUCUAUAUUGGUGUUGAUGUUUUCUUCACUUGCAGAUGCAAAAAAAGCCCGAGACAGAGUUCAGGCCGAGGAUUCCAGUAACUAUGAGUUCUAGGCGAAGAUGUACAUUUCCUACAGACGUUUUCAGUUUGACGAGAGAUUUGAACAUUUAUUGAUUGGAAAGGGUGGGCAAAACUUUUAGUGAUCAAAACUGUUGGCACAUACCGAUCAUCAUCGGGACGUCGGCGGAUAAUCACAUUGAGCUACUGGAGAAAUAGAAAGGUACUUGUUUAUGCACAACGCUCUACAGAUGGAUUCAUGGCAUCAACAUCAUUUGAAUGCUUCAUUCUGGAUAAUUUACUCAUUUAUAUUCUUUCAAGAAUUUUGAUUUGAUAAUUUUCAUUAUUAGCUACACAAAGAUUCAUACCAUACUUGUGUGUGCUCCUUUUCUGUGUUACCUCAUUCUUGAAAUAGUUCACUUUCAGGAAAGUGUUAUCCGUUAGUUGUAAUUUGUGACAACUAAACACUUUAAAUCUCAAGAGUGUAAAGGUUCACCAAAAAACGAUUAAGCCUCAUGUAGCCUGGCUGGGCUUAUCCUAAUAGUUAGCUUAUCAGGAUUAACCUAUAAUCUGUAUAUAUAAGGUGGUUUAAAUCAGUCUCCCGUACAUAAAUUUGUUGUGCAAGCCCUUAAAAGGCCAGCUAGAGAUACUUCAAGGCUAUGGGGCCUUUACACAUUUGUCUGGUAAUUUGAUGUCUUUUAUAGCGGUUCCUUUAACUGUUAAAUCCUAUGAACACUUGCGAAUACUGUAUGUUGUUGUCAGGUUCUCUACCAGAAAUCACUCAGAUACCAUGUUAUCCUCUUGUUCGCUGUUUUUUUGUAACAUCUCAAUCCAGCAUAAGCUUAUUUUGGUAAUGCAUCUUUUUGCGGUUGUUAAGUUUGAUGGUCUUUUUAAUAGCAUUCUUACUAUAUCACCUGAAUUUCUAAUCGUAAGUUUCUGUUAUUAGCUUUCUACAGAAAUAACUGUUUCUGGAGGAAUGACCAUGCUGCAGGUGAUUACCGUGCUAGGACAUGCCCUUGAUAAGAACCAGGGAACCCAUUUAAACAGAAUGAUGGCUGUGUGAGCCUUUAAAUAUCGCCAACACAUCAAGUAUUGGCAUCUAACCUUUGUAGAUGUUUACAGCUACUAAAGGAACACCAAAGUCGUGGAUGAUGCUACAUCUGAUGUAUGAUUUGAAGAUUAGAAGCUGGAACACAAGGAUUGUGUGGUGGAGUAAACACUGGUUGUAUAUUAGGCGGGUCAGAUAUUAAAGUGGGGUGCUCACACCGCACUUACGUGGCUUACGGAGAUUACUGAAAUUGGUUUGUGGGUGUUGUGUGCUCACACCGCACUCAUAAAAUUACAAUCAAGAUUUGAAGUUAGUUAAGAGCUAAAAUUAUUAA